rnacentral:tRNA from 1 species
GGCUAGGUAGCUCAGUUGGUUAGAGCAGACGGCUCAUACCCGUCAGGUCGGUAGUUCGAGUCUACUCCUAGCUA